UUGACAUUGCCAUGGGCGCAACCCUGAGCCGCAAUGCCGCGAGAGUGAUGAAGGCCCUAGGGUUGUAAAGCUCUUUUGUCCGGGAAGAUAAUGACGGGACCCUAAGAAUAAGCCCCGGCUAACUUCGUGCCCCAGCCGUGGUAAUACGAAGGGGGCUAGCGUUGCUCGGAAUUACUGGGCGUAAAGGGCGCGUAAGCGGGUUUUUAAGUCAGGGGUGAAAUCCCGAAGCUUAACCCCAGAACUGCCUUUGAUACUGACCUCUUGAGUUCCGGUGAGGUGAGUGGAAUUGCGUGUGUGGAGGGGAAAUUGGUAGAUAUUCGGAAGAACACCAUUUUUUUUUUUUCGGCUCACUGGCCCGGUACUGACCCCUAUGCACGGAAGCGUGGGGAGCAAACAGGAUUAAAUACCCUGGUAGUCCAUGCCCUAAACUAUGAAUGCCUACCCUCAGUGAGUUUACUCCCCCGUGGCGCUGCUAACGACUUAACCAUUCCGCCUGCUGAGUACGGUCGCCGGAUAAAUACUCUCCGGAAUUGUCGAGCGGUUUAA
rnacentral:rRNA from 1 species